rnacentral:rRNA from 1 species
AGAGUUUGAUCAUGGCUCAGGACGAACGCUGGCGGCGCGCCUAACACAUGCAAGUCGAACGGAGUCAAGAGGAGCUUGCUUUUCUUGACUUAGUGGCGAACGGUGAGUAACCCGUGAGUAACCUGCCCUGGAGUGGGGGACAACAGUUGGAAACGACUGCUAAUACCGCAUAAGCCCACGGAUUCGCAUGGAUCUGCGGGAAAAGGAUUUAUUCGCUUCAGGAUGGACUCGCGUCCAAUUAGCUAGUUGGUGAGGUAACGGCCCACCAAGGCGACGAUUGGUAGCCGGACUGAGAGGUUGAACGGCCACAUUGGGACUGAGACGCGGCCCAAACUCCUACGGGAGGCAGCA